CCUGUUAGAAGGAGGUUACAAUCUAGUCGCGAAACCACUAGGGCAUGGACCAGAGUCCUGGCAGUAGAGAUUGAGAGGAAUGGAUGGAUCUUGGCAAUGUUGUAGAGAAAGAAUCUACAGGUCUUUUGGCCUUCACUCCCUACCUUGGCACUAAUUUGUUUGGAGAAUCCCUAGAACCAGUUCUUGUCGAGGGUAAAGACAAAAAGAAGGCCCUGCCUUCAGGUAAAAAAGAGAGAGGAUAGGAGACAGUUUAAGAACCGCUCCUCCUUCCCAACCUUUCUUCCCUUCCAACUCCAACUCCUUUUGAGCCAGAGAGUCCAGGUCUAACCAGCCGUGUUGGGGGGAUUCCAAGUUUUCCAAACAAAACAGAUCCUCUUUUCCCACCAAGGAUGCCGGAGGCCAGAAAUCAUUGCCGAAAACCCAACAAUGACGGGAUCCAUCCAGUAGGAGGCAGGCUUCAGGAAUUCAGCUAGGCUUGGGAAAGGUCCACUGCCAACAAGUGGGUCUUGGACACUGUUUGGCGAGGCUACAAGUUAGAGUUCCAUCGACUACCUCGCAAUAUGUUCAUACCUUCACCCAAGUCAAGUGAUCCCACCAAACAUCGCCUCCUGCUGGAAGCCAUUGAACGUCUUCUUGCGCCAUUCAGGCCAUCGAGCCAGUUCCAUCAGGCAAAAGGGGAAGAGGAUGCUAUUCAACCUUCUUCCUAGUCUCAAAGAAAAACGGGACUUGGAGAGCUGUUCUCAACCUGAGAGCUGUCAACCGGUUCAACCUCAAGAAAACGUUCAGAAUGGAGACACUCAAGUCCAUUCUAGACAGCUUCCAACCCAGAGACUUUCUGUCUUCACUGGAUCUACAAGAUGCUUAUCUUCACAUUUUUAUCCAUCCAUCUUCAUGGCGUUUUCUCCGUUUCAAAUAUGGCAAUCUCCACUUCCAAUACAGGUCGCUCCCAUUUGGUUUGGCGUCAGCCCCGAGGGUUUUCACCAAGGUCAUGGUGGCCUUGGUGGCCCACUUAAGAACAAGACGUCUCCAUGUUUACUCUUAUUUGGACGACUUGCUGAUCCGUGCUCCAUCCAGAGAUCAGUCAUUACAGGACACCUCCAAGGUCCUCACGGAGUUGGAGACCCAUGGAUUCCUGGUCAACCUACAAAAGACCACUGAUUCCCGAUCAAAAGAUCCAUCACCUGGGAGCCCUGAUAAGACACCCAAGCGGGCAUAGUGCAUCUCCCCCAAGACCGGACCAGGUCCAUCCAGAAGACUGUCCUCAAGGUCUUGGACUCACCGAGGGCCAGCCUCCAACUUCUGGCUCAUCUGUAAGGCCUCAUGAUAGCAGCCAUCGAGUGCCUGCCUUGGGCGAGGUUCCAUGCCAGACCCCUGCAAUGGCUUCUCCUACCUCACCAAUGAGCUAUCACACUCAGAAAGCCCAAAAAGAUCCUCCUCGACAACGAGGUGCGACAGUCGCUUUGCUGGUGGAACUCGGAGGCGAUCUCAAAGGGGAGGCCCUUUUGGAAGCCGCAGCAAUUCAAAUCACAGAUGCCAGCCUCAGGGGCUGGGGAGCUUUCUGCGGACCUCACAUAGCUCAGGGUAAGUGGAGCCCAACAGAACUAACACGCAGCAUCAAUUGGCUGGAGUUAAGAGCUAUCCAUCUGGCGCUUCAAGCCUUUCAUCACUUGAUCCGUCACAAGGUGGUCCUGAUAAGGACGGACAAAAUUACAGCAAAGGCCCAUGUCAACCGACAGGGCGGAACCAGAUCCAGGUCUCUGAUGAUGGAGGCUCAAUCUCUCCUGACUUGGGCCAAAGCCAACCUGCUAUGCCUAGACGCAGAACAUCUCCAAGGAAAGCUAAAUUCAAAAGCAGACUGGCUAAGUCGAACGGACAUAGAUCAGUCAGAAUGGAGCCUACACCCGGACGUGUUCAGCUACAUCACGACGGAGUGGGGACUCCUGAUAUUAGACCUGUUCGCCUUUCCAUCCAACACCAAAACUCUGAGGUUCUUCUCCAGGUUCCGGACGGAGGGAGCAGAACACAUAGACGCCCUCAAUUGCCACUGGCCAAAGUACCUUCUAUAUGCCUUUCCAGCGAUACCACUUCUUUCGAAGUUCCUCUCCAAGGUACGAGCGACCAGGUCAGAGGUCAUCCUGGUGGCCCCAGUGUGGCCCAGAGGUCCUUGGUUCUCAAGAGAUUCUGAAUCUAUCGACUCAGAGUUUUCCCUUGCCCAUCAGACAAGACCUACUGUCUCAAGGCCAGAUUCACCACCCUGAUCCAGCCUGGCUUCAGCUACACGCCUGGAAAUUGAGCGCCAGAUGCUAUCCAGCUAUGGAUACUUGCCAGAGGUGAUCAAGUCCAUCUUGGCCUCCCGUCGCCAGUCAACGAUCAAAAUCUACGAAUAUACAUUCAGGCCCUUCAAGAGGUGGUGUAAACUCAAGAAAAAAGAUUUCAUUCAGGUAUCAGUGCCUACACUCCUCCAGUUCCUUCAGGAUGGGAUAGAUCAGGGACUUCGCCCGAACACCGUUAAAAGACAGGUUGCGGCUAUAACUUCGGUUCUUCCCCACGAUGAGGCAGCCAAGAUCUCUCAUCAUCCUCACAUUCGCAGAAUGCUCAAGGGAGUGUCUAACAGGUCUCCACCAACCAAACAUCAUUUCCCGUCAUGGGAUCUUCACGAGGUCCUCAAGGCCCUAACUAUACAUCCUUUUGAACCACUGAGAGAGGUCCCUCUCAAGUUCCUCACUUGGAAGGCGCUGAUCCUCACAGCUCUCACAUCGGCUCGAUGUGUCUCGGAGAUCAGCGCCUUAUCUGUUUGUAAAGAAUUGUGCAUGAUCAGACCUGACUCAAUCCUACUUGGACCUGAUCCAACUUUCAUUCCCAAGGUAAACUUGGUGUUCCAUUCCUCUCAAGACAUCAUGCUGCCUUCUUUCUGCCCACGGCCUUCCAAAGACCUGGAAAAGAUUUGGCACACCCUUGACGUUCGUAGGGCCAUCAAGAUUUACCUCAAGAGGACUUCGGCAUUCAGAAAGUCGGAAGCUCUCUUCAUAUCUUUUCGGCUGAACUCCAAAGGAAAGAAGGUGUCAAUUUCCACUCUGGCGAGGUGGAUUAGACAAUGCAUCAUCGCAUGUUACUGAGCUCUCAACCUCGACCCACCACAAGGCAUCACUGCUCAUUCAACUAGGAGCGCGGCGACGUCAGCAGCCUUAACCACUAACGCCCCACUGGCCGAAAUUUGCAGAGCAGCCACUUGGAAGUCUCCAUCCACGUUUGUCAGACAUUAUAAACUGGAUCUUUUCCAAUCAGCAGAGUUGGUCUUUGGCCGGAGGGUAUUACAACAGAUUGUCUCCAGUUCGCCUUCCACGCCAGCCGGCCCUCCCAGGAAUUUGGUGGCUUUUCUCAAUCCCAGAGUCAGGAUGCUCGGCCCCUUCUCUGAUGGGAAAUGGAACGUUGGACUUACCUGAGAUACGUCCCUUUCCAUCAGAGAAGGUCCGAGCAUCCUCCCCACCCGGUGUUAUUACGCAUACUGGCGCGGGUGGGCGAGCCGAUCCUUCUUCGGUUGUUCAUGGCUAGUCAUCAACUGAGGGUUCUUGGGCGGCUCCGCCUAUGGAGGCGCGGCUAGGCCCCUGUUCUUUUGUCUUCUCUGCCUAUCAGGAGCUGAAGUGGGUGGAGCCACCCAGAGUCAGGAUGCUCAGACCUUCUCGGAUGGAGAGGGACGUAUCUCAGGGUUCUGCCUCUAAAGCUGGACUGCCCCGGGGGCAAGGAAGGAUGGAACAACACCUCCGUCCGGGGGAACAGCCGGGUCUGCCAAGGCCAGAGGAACCCCUGCGACGGCUCAGCUGGACUAGGCUGGCUGUGCCCA